rnacentral:rRNA from 1 species
AAACCAGCACCUCAAGUGGUCAGGAUGAUUAUUGGGCCUAAAGCAUCCGUAGCCGGCUCUGUAAGUUUUCGGUUAAAUCUGUACGCUCAACGUACAGGCUGCUGGGAAUACUGCAGAGCUAGGGAGUGGGAGAGGUAGACGGUACUCGGGAGGAAGUGGUAAAAUGCUUUGAUCUCUCGAUGACCACCUGUGGCGAAGGCGGUCUACCAGAACACGUCCGACGGUGAGGGAUGAAAGCUGGGGGAGCAAACCGGAUUAGAAACCCGAGUAGUCC